UUUAUAUUCUUGUUUCAAUUCCUUUUCUUCCCAAGUCUGAACCGCCAAACUGACAACCCCUUCUUCCGACUUCCCUAACCCUUUAGGAUGACAAAGUUGGCCGCAUAUAGGCUCAAGCUUCCGCUUACACCUCUGGUAAGAGAAUCAUCGAGACAUCUCAUCAGCCGCAUGUUGCAUGGAACCUGCGAACUUUGACAAACACCAAAUCCUUCUCCAGUGUCUUCCCAAGUACGGUCUUUGUUAGGAUAUCAGCUAGGUUUAGCGUAGUAUGAAUCUAAACCAUUAUCCUGCUUCCAUCGGCAAUUACAUUUCAAAUAAAAUUGAACUUUGUACGUAUGUGUUUAGUUCUUUUGUAAAAGCCUCUAUUCUUUACCAAAAAUAUAGCUGACUGUGAUUCACAGUUAACUUUAACUGCU